ACCCGGGGAACUGAAACAUCUAAGUACCCGGAGGAAGAGAAAGCAAAUGCGAUUCCCUGAGUAGCGGCGAGCGAAACGGGAUUAGCCCAAACCAAGAGGCUUGCCUCUUGGGGUUGUAGGACACUCUGUACGGAGUUACAAAGGAACGAGGUAGAUGAAGAGGUCUGGAAAGGCCCGCCAUAGAAGGUAACAGCCCUGUAGUCAAAACUUCGUUCUCUCCUGAGUGGAUCCUGAGUACGGCGGAACACGUGAAAU
rnacentral:rRNA from 1 species